rnacentral:rRNA from 1 species
UAGGGAAUCUUCCACAAUGGACGCAAGUCUGAUGGAGCAACGCCGCGUGAGUGAAGAAGGGUUUCGGCUCGUAAAGCUCUNUUGUUAAAGAAGAACGUGGGUAAGAGUAACUGUUUACCCAGUGACGGUAUUUAACCAGAAAGCCACGGCUAACUACGUGCAG